rnacentral:rRNA from 1 species
ACUCCUACGGGAGGCAGCAGUGGGGAAUAUUGCACAAUGGGCGCAAGCCUGAUGCAGCAUGCGCGUGUGUGAGAAGGACCAGUCGGUUGUGAAUGCAACUUUCAGUCGUGAGGAAGGUAGUGUAGUUAAUAGCUGCAUUAUUUGACGUUAGCGACAGAAGAAGCACCGGCUAACUCCGUGCCAGCAGCCGCGGUAAUACGGAGGGUGCGAGCGUUAAUCGGAAUUACUGGGCGUAAAGCGCAUGCAGGUGGUUUGUUAAGUCAGAUGUG